UACGGGAGGCAGCAGUGGGGAAUAUUGGGCAAUGGGCGAAAGCCUGACCCAGCAACGCCGCGUGAAGGAUGAAGGUUUUCGGAUUGUAAACUUCUUUGACUGAGGACGACAAAAGGACGGUACUCAGAAAACAAGCCACGGCUAACUACGUGCCAGCAGCCGCGGUAAU
rnacentral:rRNA from 1 species